rnacentral:rRNA from 1 species
AAGGUAUGGCCCUGUGAACCCAACCCAUGCUCUAGUAGUGUGCGUGUUGGUGUGCACGGGCUUUCGUUCUGAAGCGCACCUCCGCCCUUGAUUGGGUGUGUUGUGUUAUUCAGAUCAUUUACUGUGAGUAAAUCAGAGUGUUCAAAGCAGGCAGCAAUGCUUGUAUGGUUCAGCAUGGAAUAAUAAGAUAAGACUUCGGUUUUAUUUUGUUGGCUAUAAGACCAAAGUAAUGAUUGAUAGGGAUAGUUGGGGGUGCUAGUAUUCAGUGGUCAGCGGUGAAAUGCGAGGACCCAUUGAAGACUAACUUAUGCGAAAGCAUU